UACGUAGGGUGCAAGCGUUAAUCGGAAUUACUGGGCGUAAAGCGUGCGCAGGCGGUUUUGUAAGUCUGAUGUGAAAUCCCGGGCUCAACCUGGGAAUUGCAUUGGAGACUGCAAGGCUAGAAUCUGGCAGAGGGGGGUAGAAUUCCACGUGUAGCAGUGAAAUGCGUAGAGAUGUGGAGGAACACCGAUGGCGAAGGCAGCCCCCUGGGUCAAGAUUGACGCUCAUGCACGAAAGCGUGGGGAGCAAACAGG
rnacentral:rRNA from 1 species